UAUUAUUGUCGAUGAACCAAGCAAACAUAUCUUCCACUAAACAGAAAACAGUAAAGAUGUUAUGCUUGCAUGACUUCACAAUUCAUCAAUCUUAUCAUUAAACUUAGUAAGGCUCAUAGAGUAAGAACUAAAAAGGACUUGCAAAAGCAGCAAUAUUUUCCUGAUGGACCAAAUUUGAAGUGUCAAUUUGACAAGAUGAAGUGUACAGCAUCACUGUUAGAAUUUUAUGAUUCUCAAUUCAAAUCUUACGAUUCGAUUCGAUUCCCUGCCCUAGCGAUUCGAAUCUAUAUGGUGAAUCCAAAAUGUACCUGAAUCUUGACCGAA
rnacentral:misc_RNA from 1 species